AUGUUGGUAGGUAUUGCAGCUUACCCUGAUAGAGAUAGCGCCGUUGUGCACUUCCAAGAUGAUGAUGUCAGGACAGUGCUAAGCUCUAACCACUGUGAUAACUCAGUCUGGAUCAAGAUAUUUGGACAAGGAACUAAGGUCAUAGUAACUCCUCCAGAUAGAAGCCUUGAUACAGACAUUUCCCCCAAGCCCACAAUUUUUUUCCCUUCAAUUGCUGAAAUAAAACUCCAUAAGACUGGAACAUAUCUUUGUCUUGUUGAGAAUUUUUUCCCUGAAGUUAUCAAGAUACAUUGGAAAGAGAAGAAUGGCCAAAUGAUUCUGAAAUCCCAGCAGGGAGACACCGUGAAGACUAAUGACACAUUCAUGAAAUUCAGCUGGCUGACCGUGGCAAAAAAGUCAAUGGCUGAAGAACAACAAUGUAUCAUCACACACGAGAAUAAUAAAGAAGGGAUUAAUAAGGAGAUUCUUUAUCGUUCAAUGAAGAAAGAGCUCACUGCUAUUAAUUCUACAAAAACUGAUGAUGACAUACUACAGCUACAGCUGAAGACCACCUCUGCCUACUACACCUACCUCCUCCUCUUCCUCAAGAGCCUGAUGUACUCCAUCAUCACCGCCUUCUGUCUGUUUAGGAGACCAGCGCCCUGUGGCAAUGGGAAGAGUUCCUAACACAUGGUGGCACCAAAGGUCCAUUGGCUUUUGUCGCUAAAAGUGUUUGCUGAGGAUCUAACUGGGCUUGCCAAAACCAGAGUUUUGGGUUAUUUCAGUUCACAUGUGUCUUCUUCAAUUGUGUCAUUAUUGCAGAACAGGUUUACAAACCCCUGGGCAAACAGAAACUUCCACUCUGCACCAAGAACAAAUUCUGCCAUGACUCAGUGGUGGGGCCGGGGGCCAUUCACAGAGGCAUCAGCACUGCUCUCUCCUUAAUGUCCACCGGUUCCUCCCUCUACCCAGUACCCAUGCCUCUGAGUACAGCCAGCAUAUAGCUUCUAGUCACAUCCCCCAGGGCUCUUUAACUGGAUAACUGCCUGGAAGCCUAUUUACACAUCCAGAACCUGCCAUCUUUGCUACCUAAAGCUUGUACUGUCUUACAUAAUAGGCACAAUAAAAACAAUUAAAUGUCGA